rnacentral:sRNA from 1 species
UGCACACACGAGUUGCAGCCAACCCGCGGCGAACGAACACAUUGUCCCCCUCGGCGGGUCGUGGCGCCUCGCGGCGUCGCGGCCGGCCGGCUCCCUUCGUCACGAGUGAGCUCGCGCUCCCUCGCGGCGUCGGCGGGUUCACACCACAUGGAUUCACCUUGACCGAAUGACUGAGUCCCGAAAACACUGGAUUACGAAAACUCCUCCGGGAGGGGGCUCGCUCCCUCUCGCGUGGAGUUGGAGUUGUGGUGUGGAAACAUAACCAAAACAACUCUCAGCAACGGAUAUCUUGGCUCUUGCAACGAUGAAGAACGCAGCGAAAUGCGAUACGUAGUGUGAAUUGCAGAAUUCCGCGAAUCAUCGAGUCUUUGAACGCAAGUUGCGCCCGAGGCUUGUCCGAGGGCAUUUCCGCUAGAGCGUCACCGCGCCCCCCACCCACCCCCUCCCUCCGGGAGUCGGGUGGCGUGAAAGUGGCCGUCCCGGCGUCGGGCUUCGCGGCCUGACUGCGGGUCGGCUGAAAUGGAAGGAAUCGGGCCGCCGUGGUGACACAGUCCGCGAUCGGGUGAUCCGCGCUCCUUCGGGAGCCCGGAAUAUUUCUAAGUGCGUGGCUGCGUCCCCAGUUGGCUCCGGUUACCUCGUGCAGGUCGGGCGCGCCCCCCGUGAAUGGGGCGGCGCGCGUCACGUCACGCAUCAGACCUCUAAU